GACCACGUCCCAACAAAGUUCUUCAUAUAUCGGAGCAGCCAUAGCAGCAGCAGCAGAGCUCCUCUAGGGUUUCGAAGGCGAAGAAGGCAGCGGGCGGAGGACUCUCCAGAACCGUCACUAUGAGAGCGAAGUGGAAGAAGAAGCGCAUGAGGAGGCUCAAGAGGAAGCGCAGAAAGAUGAGGCAGAGAUCCAAGUAGAGAUCUCGGUGGCUGCCGGCUCCCACACUCUCCAGCUCUCGCCUUCCUGACUGAGUAGUACUCUGUUAGAGAUUUAUCGUUAUUGCUAUCAUUACUAGUGCUGUUGGUUUUUCUCUGUUUCAAGCUUGCUGUCGGUACACUCUUAUGAAGUUCAGCUCGGACCUUGUUACUUUAUGGAAGGAUGAAUCGAUUUUGGUCUGCGUAA